CCGUCGACGCCCCUUUCCCUUCUGUUCCUGUCUCUGCUCAGAUGAAAUGAAUGGAACAGGGCUAACUUUUGCCCCGCCUCUUUGCCAGAUUCCGACCAAUGAUGAGGAGAAUAGCAAGCCAAGGACUCAUGUGAUUGGUCGAAGGGGCUGGGACCGGCUUGUUUCUUUUUCCUCUCAGCGGGAGAACAUGCAGAUCAAGAAUAGGUCUCUUCAGCCAUCUACGGAUCCAUCCCCAAGACAACAGAAAUGUAGGACCAUCAUCCUCGAACUACGAGGGAUCGCCUAAGUAAAUCAAAGUUACAGUGGACUUAUAAGAAGACAGUAGGUCGUUGGUCUGAAAUGUUCAUGUUAAUCCAAAAGAAAUAUUUGAAAAUAGAUUUUGUAAAGACUUCACAAUAGUUUCUGCUGGGCAUUAUGGAGAAUUGGGUAAUAAAUAUGGAUUAUUUCUUCAAUACAUCAUAACAGCAGCAAGACCAUUGUUUACUUCAGUUUGGACAUGGAUUGAAGCGCCAAUGACAAAAGAAUGUAUCGCUAAGUUUAUUACUAUCUUGUUUUGUUGCCAUACGUUCUUGUAUUGUUUAUCGGUUUUAGUUUGGUGGUUUAUUGGUUAUUGUUCAUCUUUGGCAUUGAAUAUUCGCUAUUUUUCUGUUGGAAACCGCUCUGAGUCCCCUCGGGAAGAUAGGGCUGGUUACAAUUUUAUUAUUAUUAUUAUUAUUAUUAUUAUUAUUACUACUACUACUACAGUAGAGUCUCACUUAUCCAACAUAAACGGGCCGGCAGAACGUUCAAUAAGCAAAAAUGUUGGAAAAUAAGGAGGGAUUAAGGAAAAGCUUAUUAAAUGUCAAAUUACGUUAUUAUUUUAUAAAUUAAGCACCAAAAACAUGUUUUACAACAAAUCGACAGAAAAAGCAGUCCAAAACAUGGUAACGUUAUGUAGUAAUUACUGUAUUUAUGAAUUUAGCACCAAAACAUCACAAUAUAUUGAAAACAUUUGACUACAAAAGCAUUGGCUACUAACAAAUUGACUACAAAUAAAGACAGAAUUGCAUAAAAUGAAUUUACAGUAGCAACGUUGUUGGAAAUUAAAUCCAUAAAAAGUUCAAUCCUUGCUGCGUAGAGAAACAGCUGUGGAUCAGGGUGGGAGGCAAACUGCAUUGGGUAAUCCAGAACACUGGAUAAGCGGAUGUUGGAUAAGUGAGACUCUACCGUAUUAUUAUUAUUGGGGCCAUGGUGGUGCAAUGCGCCAAGCCCUUGUGCUGUUGAACUGCUGACCUGAAGGUCAGCAAUUUGAAUCCGUGGGACAGGGCGAGCUCCUACUGUUAGCCCUAGCUCCUGCCAGCCUAGCAGUUUGAAAACAUGCAAAUGUGAGUAGAUAAAUAGGUACCGCUUCAGUGGGAAAAAGGGAAAAAGAUGCUCCAAGCAAUCAUGGCAGCCACACGACCAGGAGGUAACAACGCAGGCUUCCCGGCUUGAAAAUGGAGAAGAGUACGUCCCACAGAGCCAGAGAUGGAUACUGCCUCCAGAGCUGGAAAUGAAAUAAGUUUUUGCCUUUGUCUGCAUUGCGCGUCUUGUGUGUGAUUAUCUGCAUUAUAUAUACUGUAAUCUGCUCUGAGUCCCUUCAGGGAGAAGGGUGGACUAUAAAGUGCAUUAUUAUUAUUA